AGCGAACGCUGGCGGCAGGCCUAACACAUGCAAGUCGAACAAACCUUUCGGGGUUAGUGGCGGACGGGUGAGUAACACGUGGGAACGUGCCUUUAGGUUCGGAAUAACUCAGGGAAACUUGUGCUAAUACCGAAUGUGCCCUUCGGGGGAAAGAUUUAUCGCCUUUAGAGCGGCCCGCGUCUGAUUAGCUAGUUGGUUGAGGUAAUGGCUCACCAAGGCGACGAACAGUAGCUGGUCUGAGAGGAUGAUCAGCCACAUUGGGACUGAGACACGGCCCAAACUCCUACGGGAGGCAGCAGUGGGGAAUCUUGCGCAAUGGGCGAAAGCCUGACGCAGCCAUGCCGCGUGAAUGAUGAAGGUCUUAGGAUUGUAAAAUUCUUUCACCGGGGACGAUAAUGACGGUACCCGGAGAAGAAGCCCCGGCUAACUUCGUG
rnacentral:rRNA from 1 species